CACAGCUCAGCUUGUACCUGAGAACAUUGAGAGACUUUUUACAGGGUCAUAUGGUGACACCACAAACAAUUUUAAACUGAAAGAGGAGAGUUGUAGAUUAGAUUUUAGGAAGACCAUCUUCACUGUGAGGGUGGUGGUGCAAAGUUGUCCAAAGAAGAUGUGGGCGCUCCAUCUCUGACAGUGUUCAGGUUGGAUGGGGUUUGAGCAACUUGGUCUGGUGGAAGGUGUCCCUGCCCAUGGCAGGGGGUCUGGAAGCAGGUGAUCUUUAAGGUCCCUUCCAACCCUAGCUUUUCUAGGUCUGCAGUUGCACAUUGCAAUUGUGCUGAUGGGGUUCUCCAAACAGGGCUUCUGCUCAGGGCAUUGCACUGCAAAGCUGCAACACAGUCACUGGGACUGCUCAGUUUUUCACCUUUCUGUCUCAAGUGUUGCUGCACAGUGUGGAUGCAUCUGUCUAAGACCUCCUUUUAGAAGCAUGUGAAUCAGAACACAUUAAAGCAGGGGAUUCAAAGGAAGAAUAUAGAAAAGGAAAGAAACCUAAAAAAGGCAAAGAUGUAGUGUUUGAAUCCUUCAGCUGGUCAGCUGAAUUCCAGCCUGAUCAUAUGUUACCUUUCUCUUCUGUCUGGCUUUUUUUGAUUCCUGAACUUCCACUGACGCCUAAAUUAAAAUUCUCCCAUGGAGAAAGUGCAGGUUCUGAAUCUCAGGUGUCAUUCCGACCUUAUCCAAGAAGAGAAGGCAUGUGUGACUUCGGAAUGAAAAAGUCCCAACAAUUUUCUAUCAAUCUUCUUUUGAAAUUAUGAAAGCCACUUACUGUCAACUCUGCCCUUUCUUCAAUGAACACAGCCCUCUAGAUACCAGCAUAAGCAUAUAGCACAGGUAGAGUAAAUUCUACAGAGUUCUUGUGUAAAUGGUGUGCAGCUUGCAGGGCUUCUCAGGGUUUCUCUCUUUAUUUAUUUAUUUAUU
rnacentral:lncRNA from 1 species